rnacentral:tRNA from 1 species
GGCGGCGUAGCUCAGUUGGUAGAGCGUGGGACUCAUAAGCCCAAGGUCACAGGUUCGAUCCCUGUCGCCGCUA